UGAUAUGCUCCCUGACUCACUCUUCCCUCUGUUGGAGCUCAGAACACGACACUCCAAAACAUGGCACCUUGGUAAUUAAGAAAACAGCAGAAAAUGUGGACAUGCUUACUCGGGGAUUGUGGCCCACCAGAAGCAUUUACUUCCUACCAGCCCCCCAAUUUCUCAGGCCUCACAGGGGGCAUCUUCAGGCAUCCACACCCCUGCCCAGAUGCUCCUGUCCACCUUGCAGUCCACCCAGCGCCCCACCCUCCCAGUAGGAUCACUGUCCUUGGACAAAGAGUUCACUCGUCCCAAUGAAACCACCAUUCACACUGCGGGCCACAGUCUGGCAGUUGGGCCUGAGGCUGGGGAGAACCAGAAGCAGUCGGAAAAAAAUGCUGGUCCCACAGCCAGGACAUCAGCCACAGUGCCGGUCCUGUGCCUCCUGGCCAUCGUCUUCAUCCUCACUGCAGCCCUUUCCUAUGUGCUGUGCAAGAGGAGGAGGGGGCAGUCACCGCAGUCCUCUCCAGAUUUGCAGGUUCAUUAUAUACCUGUGGCACCUGACUCUAAUACCUGAGCCAAGAAUGGAAGCUUGUGAGGAGACGGACUCUAUGUUGCCCAGGCUGUUAUGGAACUCCUGAGUCAAGUGAUGCUCCCACCUUGGCCUCUGAAGGUGUGAGGAUUAUAGGCGUGACCCACCACAUCCAGCCUACACGUAUCUGUUAAUAUCUAACAUAGGACUAACCAGCCACUGCCCUCUCUUAGGCCCCUCAUUUAAAAAUGGUUAUAUUUUAAAAUCUGCUUUUCACACUGGGUGAUAAUAACUUGGACAAAUUCUAUGUGUAUUUUGUUUUGUUUUGCUUUGCUUUGUUUUGAGACGGAGUCUCGCUCUGUCAUCCAGGCUAGAGUGCAGUGGCAUGAUCUCGGCUCACUGCAACCCCCACCUCCCAGGUUCAAGCAAUUCUCCUGCCUCCUCCUGAGUAGCUGGGAUUACAGGUGCUCACCACCACACCCAGCUAUUUUUUUGUAUUUUUAGUAGAGACGGGGUUUCGCCAUGUUGGCCAGGCUGGUCUCGAACCCCUGACCUGGUGAUCUGCCCACCUAGGCCUCCCAAAGUGCUGGGAUUAAAGGUGUGAGCCACCAUGCCUGGCCCUAUGUGUGUUUUUUAACUACUAAAAAUUAUUUUUGUAAUGAUUGAGUCUUUUUUAUGGAAACAACUGGCCUCAGCCCUUGCGCCCUUACCAUGAUUCCUGGCUUCAGCUUUUUUUGCUGAUGGUUCCCCCUCGUCCCAAAUCUCUCUCCCAGUACACCAGUUGUUCCUCCCCCACCUCAGCCCUCUCCUGCAUCCUCCUGUCCCUGCAACGAAGGCCUGGGCUUUCCCACCCUCCCUCCUUAGCAGGCGCUGUGCUGGGACACCAUAUGGGCUGGUUUCACUUCCUCAGUCCCUUGCCUACCCCAGUGAAAGUCUGAUCUUGUUUUUAUUGUUAUUGCUUUUAUUAUAA
rnacentral:sRNA from 1 species